AGGACAAGGUAGGUAAAACUUUAAUUCAAUUGAAACCCACUUUCACCUCCUCUGCUCUUUGUUGACCUCUCUAAAUUAUACCUUCCAUUUUCCCAGAUUUGCCCCCCUUCUUCUUCCUCUUCUUCCUCCUCCUCACACUCUUUCCCAAAUUUCCCAGAUUUUUAUUUUUCAUUUUUCCAAACCCUAUUUUAAUUAUACUGAACAAAUCCCAGCUACUUUAUUUGUUUUUCUCCAUGAAAGUCUUACCUUAAAAAGUCAAUAUGGAGGGUCACUUCUAAACUUCUUCCCAGCUUCUUUAUUCAGUUUUCCAAUUAGGGUUUCUCUGUUCUUCUGCUCUCAGUCUUUUUGGGAUCUGGGUUUUUAAUUUUAGAGUCUUUUGAUUCGUGGGUUUAGUUUAAUUCAGUCCAAUUUAGCCUAGUUUUGCUUAAUUUCUCUCUCCCCCUUUUCCCUCUAAAAGUCAAAUGCAAAAUACCCCUUUCUUUUCUGGGUUAAGACUGGUGUUUGAAUUUGCCCCUUCAAAUGGUUUGAAUUCAAAAUUUACUACCGAUUUUUGGGGUUGAUCUUGAUUAGAGAUCAGCUCUUUUGCUGGGGAUUCCUUGUGGUCCAAAUUUAGACUUUCCUUUUAAUUUAUUUUAUCCGGUCCUUUAUUUCACCUUUGAAUCUCUUCAGUUCUUUGUGGUUUUGAAUGCUUUGCUAAAGCAAACAUUCUCUCUCCUGGAGAAUUUGUUUGAAGCUGCCAACUUUUGCUGAAAGCAGUCUAUUAGAAUUGGGAGAAAGCAAUUCAGGUUGAUUCCUUCUUUCUAAGUUUUGAAUUUGAACCUGAUUUCUCUCUUUUUUUUUCUCUCUGGGUUGAAGAGUUGGAGCUUGAAAGUUGGUAAAUUAAUUUUAUUUUGUCAGGGUUAGGUUUUUGGUAUUCUUUGUUCUGAUGCAUCUCUCACUAUGGAAGCCUAUUUCCCACUGUGUUCAUUUGAUCAUUGACAAAAAAGGUAGAAGAAAAGAUGGGUCUGAAUUUGGGGAAGAUGGUAAGAGAAACCCUUCAGUUCUCAGGAAAUUACAGGAGAGCAAGCUUAGAGAAGCUCUUGAAGAAGCAUCUGAAGAUGGGUCUCUUCUCAAAUCCACCUUAGACAAUGAAGCUGAGGCCAAUUCCAACAAAGACGAGGGCCUCGGCCGUUCGAGAUCUCUUGCAAGGCUUCAAGCUCUCAAAGAAUUUCUCAGGGCAACUGCAUUAGCUGCGGAGCGUACUUUCGAAACCGAAGACUCGAUUCCUGCACUUAAUGAGGCCUUUUCUAAGUUCCUCACUAUGUAUCCCAAGUAUCAGUCUUCUGAGAGGAUUGAUCAGCUGAGGUUAGAUGAAUAUGGGCAACUUACAGGGCCAGCUGCAAAGGUAUGUCUUGACUACUGUGGAUUUGGGCUGUUUUCUCACCUACAGACUCUCUAUUAUUGGGACACUUCAAGUUUUAGCUUGUCUGAGAUGUCUGCUAAUCUGAGUAAUCAUGUGUUGUAUGGUGGUGCUGAUAAAGGGACUGUUGAACAUGAUAUUAAAACUAGAAUUAUGGAUUAUUUGAACAUUCCUGAGAAUGAAUAUGGGAUUGUCUUUACUGUAAGUAGAGGUUCAGCUUUUAAAUUGUUGGCUGAAGCAUACCCUUUUCAUACAAACAAGAAACUGUUAACCAUGUUUGAUCAUGAGAGCCAAUCUGUGAAUUGGAUGGCCCAAGCUGCUAAGGAGAAAGGGGCGAAAAGUUAUAGUGCAUGGUUUAAAUGGCCUACUCUUAAACCCUGCUCAGCUGAUCUUAGGAAGCAGAUUUUGAAUAAGAAGAAGAGGAAGAAGGAUUCUGCAGUUGGUCUUUUUGCUUUUCCUGUUCAGUCCAGGGUGACGGGAUCCAAGUACUCGUACCAAUGGAUGGCUCUGGCACAACAGAACAAUUGGCAUGUUUUGCUAGAUGCUGGUGCUUUGGGACCGAAGGAUAUGGAUUCACUUGGGUUGUCUUUAUUUCGUCCUGACUUCAUAAUCACAUCAUUUUAUAGGGUGUUUGGGUUUGAUCCCAGUGGAUUUGGAUGCCUCCUUAUCAAAAAAUCUGUGUUAGGAUGUCUUCAAAAUCAAUCUGGGGUUACUGGAACUGGAAUGGUGAAGAUCACUCCGGUCUUUCCACAGUAUUUGGGUGAUUCGAUGGAUGGUCUUGAUGGGCUGAUUGGCGUUGAGGAUGAUGAAGUCGAUGAGAAUGGAGAAUUUAAAGUUGACACUCAAAAGGGUUCGCAGAUGCCAGCUUUUUCCGGUGCUUUUACUUCUGCUCAGGUCAAGGAUGUAUUUGAGACUGAGAUGGAUCAUGAAAUAUGUUCUGACAGAGAUGGUGCUAGCACAAUCUUCGAAGAGACUGAGAGUAUCUCUGUUGGGGAGGUGAUGAAGAGCCCUAUCUUCAGUGAGGAUGAAUCAUCUGACAAUUCAUUCUGGAUUGACUUAGGUCAAAGUCCAAUUGGUUCCGAACAUGCGGGCCAGCUAGAGAGACAGAGAUCCACUCCUUCACCACCCUUAUGGUUUACUGGUAGGAAAGAUGCAAAGAGGGUCUCUCCGAAGCCAGCAGGGAACAAUUCUAGGAGCCCGACAUAUGAUGGGCGGCAUAUGUUAUCAUUCGAUGCUGCAGUUCAAUCAGUCUCACGCAGUAUUGAUAAUGUCCAUGAGAUCAAUGAAGAAAUACACACUAUUAAUGAGAUAGAGGAGUAUGAAGAUGAAAAGGCAAGCAACAAAGCAUCCCUGAAUUCUUCGGUGAAUGGAGGCAACUACAACUGUCGCAUUUCGGCAUCUCGUGGUAUCAUGUCAGAUGUAUGUGCAGAGUCGAAAGAAAGUGCUAUUAGAAGAGAAACAGAAGGUGAGUUCAGGCUUUUGGGAAGGAGGGAUGGCAAUAAAUUUGGUGGAGGCAGGGUUGUAUGUUUUGAAGAAGAGGAUAUUGCUAGCAAAGGCAGGAGGGUGUCCUUCAGUACAGAGGACAAUCACAGAGGGCACUCUAGUCAUACUUUGGAGGCAGGUGAGACGUCUGCUAGUAACCUUGAAGACUAUGACUAUGCAAGUGACGGGGACUAUGGUGACGACCCAGAAUCGGGUAGGAGAGAACCAGAGAUAAUCUGCCGACAUCUUGAUCAUAUAAACAUGUUGGGCCUCAACAGAACUACAUCUAGAUUACGGUUUUUGAUAAAUUGGCUUGUGACAUCACUUUUGCAGUUGAGAUUCCCUGGUCCAGAUGAAAAAAAUAGUGUGCCUUUAGUCCAAAUAUACGGACCUAAAAUUAAAUACGAAAGAGGUGCUGCUGUUGCUUUCAAUGUGAGAAACUGCAAUCGGGGGCUUAUUAAUCCAGAGGUUGUCCAAAAACUUGCUGAAUCACAUGGGAUCGGUCUUGGUGUUGGCAUCCUAAGCCAUAUGAGAAUUAUGGAUGGUCCGGGGAAUUCAAAUGGGGAGUUGAACAUUGCAGAUACAACAUUGUGCAAGCCAAUGACAAGUGGCCGUUUUGACGGAAAAAGUGGCUUCUUUAGAGUGGAGGUUGUCACAGCAUCACUUAGCUUUUUGACCAACUUCGACGAUGUGUACAAGUUGUGGGCUUUUGUUGCGAAGUUUCUUAAUCCAGCCUUUACAACAGAGAUUGGACUUUCAACUGUUGAAGAAGAUUCAGAGACAUGACACUGUGCCACUGAAGCUACCUCUCUUUGUUCAAUUCAAGAGCCAUCACAUUGUAGUGAAAGUUUGGGAUGUAAAUUUCAUCCUGUCAAAAUGAAGAUCAUGAAGAAUACAAGAGGGCAGGAUCAUUUUCAUAUCUUUGGAUUCUCAACACCUUCAGACACUUUCAUUGCCCCGUGGAAUUUCUGUUUUAGACUACUCUGUUUUUUGUAGCUCCAUGCCUCCACAGUACCUACCUGUCACUUCUCCAAGAUGUUUUUCAAUUACCAUCCUCAGUAUUUGUUUUGAAGCGGCAGAAUAGCAGGGAAAUGAUCAAGCUGUGGAGUAGAAGAAACGCCUCUUUUGUGCAAUGGACGUGUUUCAGCUGCUACCAUUUUAGGUUUGUGCUGUUUUGGUGUCCUUACAGAUUGUCUUGUUCUGUUUUUGGGUGGGUACAAUAGGGGGGACUCUUUCUCAGUCAUUACUCUUGUUGGUGCAUCACCUUAAUUUUUUCGGAAUACCGAAAUUUUUCCUAAUAUGUGUUGAAAAUAACUUAACAAUCCACCCGGAGAUUUUGUGCCUCAAAGGUGUAUGUUUUUGUGGUAGUUUUGCUUUGCAUUAUUUAGUGCAAGUAUUUGCUUGUUCUCUUUUGUGGUUUAUGUUAUGAUUUUGUUCUCUUCA